AUGACAGUGCUGCUGCCGCUGGUAGCUAACAGGCCCGUGGCCAGGAUUUUCGAGGUGUCCUCGGAAUGUCCCCACGGACGGCCGCCUUCCUUCCAGGCGGGCCCACUCCCCGCCCCAUCCCCCCCGCAUCCCGCCUUAGCCCCGAGCAGGCCCCCCCCCUCCUCCUCGCACCCGGCCCAGCCCCGUCCCUGCGGGGGUCCCUGUACCCACCAUUACACUGCGCCUCACUCGGCCGCGCCCCCCGGCCCUGCGCCCCCUCGGGACGGGCAGUCCGCGGGCGGCGCGGGCCACGUGCUGGGGUCUGUGCCGUCACUCAUUGUGCUGCAGCCAAUGGGCGGCGCCGGCGCCAGGCCGCCGCCCCGAGGUGCGCACCCCCACGCCCAGAGGGGCGCAGCAGCCGGGGGCCCAGGCACCGCCGGGGGAGGGAGCGCUGCGGCUAACGUCGGCUCCAGCGACCGCCAGAGGCCGGCGAGCACAUGGGGUGCGCGCGCAGUCGUCGACGGAGCAGCCCCCCCGCGGGCGCGACAGCCGAGCGGCGCUGCCCCCCCGCACUCCGAGACCGCGGGCCCAGGGGCGCUGGCCGCGAAUUCGGCACCGCGGGGCACACGCCCCAAGGCCUGCCUUACCCGGACGGGAGGACAAGCGGGGACGCCCAGCACUCAAGGUAGGGCCCGGGAGCCCGGGAAGGGGCGGGCAGGGGGCGUGCCCACGCUCACCCGGCCCGUCCUCCGCAGGCUGACGCUCAGAGGCACUCGGAGCUCCCCGAUCCUCAGCUCCCAGCGAGGCCAACCGUGGGUCCCAAUUCCGGGCUGCAGGGCCGCGCUCCUCCACGCCGGCCUCCCUUGCACGUGGGAAACGCAGAGAGCCUGGGAAUUCCACUGACGCUGGCAUCUGUGAGCCGCACAAUGAAACCCCGUGUCUGAUUUCCUGCCCUGAGCCCUUGAGGGAGAGGGAGUAAGAGGAUUUGGGGGGCUGCGGAGCAGGGACGCUGCUGGUUCUACUGUGAGCCAAGCGGACAGGGAAGGACCCUGAGCUCGUCCCGCCUCGCCGCGCUGUCGGGGCGCCCCGGGCUCCUCGCACACCCCGACCUCGCAGCCGUAGUGAGCACCACGGGCAGGGGAGCACCCGCCCGCCCCCGGCUCCCCGCGCCGGGGGGCCUGGAGCCUGCCGCCUGGGGGGUCCCUGCCGCCCGCCCGGGAGUCUCACCCCCCCAAGGGCAAGGGCGGAGCCGCCCCCAGGAUCCAUCCCGGCGGUCCGGCUCGGGGCCCACGCCGGUUCAGUCCCCAAUCAGGCGGCAGGAGUCAGCAUUCUAGAAACAGUCCCUCCGCGGAGGGAACUGCAGGCGAGCAGCAGGGUCCUCGGCCUGACGGCGGGGACUGCGGGGACGGGCGGCCCGGAGCCCCCCGGAGCCCCGGGGCUGUGGGAGGAACCUGAGGCCCAGGGCGAGGGCAGGAGGGGGGGGCUGGCCUCCGAAGCGAGGGCCCUGGACUCGUGGGGGGACUGCUGUCGCCCGCGGGGAAGGAGGAAGCCACAUGACCCUCCAAGGGGGGACCCCGCGCAGGAGGGGGCUGCUGAGGCCCCGGCUUCCCGCCGCUGGGCUGGCCUGGGCGCCCCACCUCUGCUGUUACCCCCGCCCCCCGCUGCCAUUCCUGCUGCAAUGACUGUGGUUCUUAGGCCUCGUGUGCUUUCCCCACACCUGCCUGGACGCUCCCCUGUGUUUGAAGGAAGCCCCGCACCCAGCCUGGGGCUGGGACGCCCCACCCCGACACCCAGGGGUGCGGCCCUGGCGACCGGCCGCCCAGCUGCGCCUGGCCUGGGCCCCUCGGAUGUCGGCUCUUCCCGUGACGCCUUGCCCUGGGUCCUCGGGUCCGUGUAGCUCAGGGGCUGGUGGCCACGUGCGGAGCGAGUGGCUUUCUACCCCAGUAGUGCAAACCGUGUGUAAAUACCUGUGAGCACCCUCCGUGAGCUCAGCAGGAUUCAAAGGUCAGUCCCUGAGGUGCAGCCCCCUACACACACGCGCACACACGCGCACACACGCUUAACCACGUGAGCAGGCCCUUCUCGGGCUCACCCUCCGCCCUCGGCUGCGUGCUGGCCCGAGGCCCCCCGGGGGUACUCGACUGGGCCCCCCUCUCAGGCCUCAGGAG
rnacentral:lncRNA from 1 species